rnacentral:lncRNA from 1 species
AUCAAUUGCUGUGUAGUUAAUUAAAUCAACUAGUGUGUAAUUAAUUGAAUCAAUUACUGUUUUGGAAUUGAAUCAAUUACUGUGUAGUUAAUUGAAUACAUUAAUGUGUAGUUAAUUGAAUCAAUUGCUGUGUAAGUAAUUGUAUCAAUUAAUGUGUAGUUAAUUGAAUCAAUUACUGUGUAGUUAAUUGAAUCAAUUACUGUGUAGUUAUUUGAAUCAAUUGCUGUGUAGUUAAUUGAAUCAAUUGGUGUGUAGUUAAUUGAAUCAAUCUGUAGUUAAUUGAAUCAAUUAAUUUUUAGUUAAUUGAAUCAAUUAAUUUGUAGUUAAUUGAAUCAAUUAAUUUGUAGUUAAUUGAAUUGAUUACUGUGUUGUUAAUUUAAUGAAGUAUGUGUUGUAAACUCGGUGAUUGGGUAUACUUUUAUCAUAGAACUCAUCAUUAUUGGUUAAACUUUCUGUAUAAUUAGAUAGUGCUUGUUUAGUGGAACCAUACACAUGUAGCAUUUGUAUUAAUAUUACUAUUUGUAUGUAAUGACUGUUUGAAAUUAAAGAAUCUGUGCAAUUCUUAGCUUUUAAUUAAAAUAACAUUAGAAUAGUGUAAACCAACAUAAUUUUUUAAUUCAUUUUUUCACAAAUAACUCUUUCUUGCAUAUAUAUAGUGGCAAUUUAUUUUUGUAUUCUUAAAUUCUUAAAGGUCAUGUAAAUAAAUAGUUUGGGAAAAUUAAGUUGGUUAAUAUUGUAUUUAGUAUUAAUCUGUGGUUAUUAGAAGAAUCUCCUUAAUCUGUUAAAAUAUAUUGUUAACACUACUUUUAGUUCCUUGUUUGAACCAAUGUUUCAAGUAUAAUCUCUACUUCACUACAGAAUCCUUAAUAAUUCAAUCAGUAUGAUAAUCUGCUCACCGAUGUCAACAUACAAUGUAAGUCAAUUUAAAAUUAUCAAUUUGUCAUUCAGAACUCGUUCAGGAUUUCUAUAUCAUGAGGCUAUCAUCUGAUUGGUUAUCUCAAACAGAGAGAGCACCAAUUAAAAUUCUGAAUUUGCGACACAUUUAAAUUGUAUAUAGAGUUCAGGCCAGUAUGAGUCUGAGAGUUGAUCAGGAGUAGGGACUUAAUUACUCCAGUAACUUCUUCAGUAUUAAAGAUUAUAAGAACUGGUACAAUUUUUGCAUAAACAACAAAACAAAAAUUAAAUGCAGACUGUAACGGAAUAUACCAUUCUUUUAUUCAAUUAAAUAUUUACUUUUUGAAAAUUGUAAACGAGGUUAUAAAAACAUUUCUUUUAUCCUUUUGACACAGUGACUGAUGAUGUCACAUACAAAGAACACAUUUGUUUGAUCCUUUUGAUAUGUAAAGCACGGUGACUGAUGAUGUCACAUACAAAGAAUACAUUUGUUUGCAGUUCUGUGAAAACUUUGUAUGUACAUAUCUUUAGAUAAACAGUAGACACCACUUUAUUGUGCAAAAUGGUAUUUUUAAAUCAAAUUUUGUCUCAAGUGGACAUUUCUUGUGAUCUAUAGGUUAUGUGAAGCACAAGUGCAGUUAUGUUUAAAAUGAGAGGAGGUGUUUUUUAUGCUCAGCAUACCAUUGUAGGAACUUAGUUGUUUUCCUUUUGAUAAGAACGCAUAUGAAAUGAAAGUUUUACAAUGUAAUAGAAAGUUACAUUAUGUAUAUUUAGAUAUUCAUAUUUUAUAUUGUUUAUGUCUGGAGAUAUUACCCUUUAUAAUAUAAUUUGAUAUGUAGUAUUGAUAUUAAUUGUUGACUGAUUAACACAGGGUAAAUUCUGUGGAAUUGUUUGUAAACUGCCAAGAAUGGAGAUUGGUGUUUUAAAUUUAAAUUAUUUAAUUUGAUAAUCAUACAAAACGGUGUUUUAAAUUCAAUUUAUUUAAUUUGAUAAUGAUACAAAACAGUGUUUAAAUUCAAUUUAUUUAAUUUGAUAAUUAUACAAAAACACCAAUUCUUUGUUUUUAUCGUUAAAUAUGAUCACAGGGUGACUGCAUUUAAUUUCAUAUCACAUUAUUGUUCAUAUUAUAUGGUAUCUUUAUUAUAUUCACUAACUUUUAUGUAAAUCAUAAGGUGGUUCUAUAUACUACAUUAUUACCUAUAUACAAAUGUGUUCUUUAGUGGUAUUUAUGUCUGAUUAGUCCAAAAUGUAAUGUGUGAUUAUAUUUUGGAAGUUACUUCAGUUUUAAUACAAACUACAUCAUCCUCUAGUAAUAGUCAUUUAAUUAAGUAUUCUGGAUUUAUUAUUAUUUCAAUUUUCCUAUGAAGUUCGUGGUUAUAGAUGAACCUCAAAUUUAAAUGUUCAACAAAAUGCCACUUUCCUUAAGGCUUGUUUCAACUUUAACAUUAAAAGUAUCCACAGAAAUAUAAUUUUUCGUCCAUAA